CCUACGGGAGGCUGCAGUCGAGAAUCUUCGGCAAUGGGCGAAAGCCUGACCGAGCGACGCCGCGUGGAGGAUGAAGGCCUUCGGGUUGUAAACUCCUGUCAGGAGUUAUGAAACCCAUGACCGCUAACACCGGACAUGGUUGACAAAGGCUCCAGAGGAAGUCAUGGCUAACUCUGUGCCAGCAGCCGCGGUAAUACAGAGAUGGCAAGCGUUGUUCGGAAUCACUGGGCAUAAAGGGCACGUAGGCGGGUCGGUAAGUCAGGUGUGAAAUCCCUCGGCUCAACCGAGGAACUGCGCCUGAAACUGCCGAUCUUGAGGGCAGGAGGGGAGAGUGGAACUCUUGGUGGAGCGGUGAAAUGCGUAGAUACCAAGAGGAACGCCGGUGGCGAAAGCGACUCUCUGGUCUGCUACUGACGCUGAGGUGCGAAAGCUAGGGGAGC
rnacentral:rRNA from 1 species